GACGGGGGCCCGCACAAGCGGUGGAGUAUGUGGUUUAAUUCGAUGCAACGCGAAGAACCUUACCAGGGAUUGACAUCCUACGAAUCACUUUGAAAGGAGUGAGUGCCUUCGGGAACGUAGAGACAGGUGGUGCAUGGCUGUCGUCAGCUCGUGUCGUGAGAUGUUGGGUUAAGUCCCGCAACGAGCGCAACCCUCGUCCUUAGUUGCCAUCAUUAAGUUGGGCACUUUAAGGAGACUGCCGGUGACAAACCGGAGGAAGGUGGGGAUGACGUCAAGUCAUCAUGCCCCUUACAUCCUGGGCUACACACGUACUACAAUGCAACGGACAAAGGGCAGCCAACUAGCGAUAGUGCGCAAAUCCCAUAAACCGUUGCUCAGUUCAGAUUGCAGGCUGCAACUCGCCUGCAUGAAGGCGGAAUCGCUAGUAAUCGCAGGUCAGCAUACUGCGGUGAAUACGUUCCCGGGCCUUGUACACACCGCCCGUCACACCAUGGAAGUUGGCCACGCCCGAAGUCGUUACCCCAACCGUUUACGGAGGGGGACGCCGAAGGCAGGGCUGAUGACUGGGGUGAAGUCGUAACAAGGUAACC
rnacentral:rRNA from 1 species